rnacentral:rRNA from 1 species
GGGGAAUAUUGCACAAUGGGGGAAACCCUGAUGCAGCGACGCCGCGUGGAGGAAGAAGGUCUUCGGAUUGUAAACUCCUGUUGUUGAGGAAGAUAAUGACGGUACUCAACAAGGAAGUGACGGCUAACUACGUGCCAGCAGCCGCGGUAAAACGUAGGUCACAAGCGUUGUCCGGAAUUACUGGGUGUAAAGGGAGCGCAGGCGGGAAGACAAGUUGGAAGUGAAAUCUAUGGGCUCAACCCAUAAACUGCUUUCAAAACUGUUUUUCUUGAGUAGUGCAGAGGUAGGCGGAAUUCCCGGUGUAGCGGUGGAAUGCGUAGAUAUCGGGAGGAACACCAGUGGCGAAGGCGGCCUACUGGGCACCAACUGACGCUGAGGCUCGAAAGUGUGGGUAGCAAACAGGAUUAGAUACCCUGGUAGUCCACACCGUAAACGAUGAUUACUAGGUGUUGGAGGAUUGACCCCUUCAGUGCCGCAGUUAACACAAUAAGUAAUCCACCUGGGGAGUACGACCGCAAGGUUGAAACUCAAAGGAAUUGACGGGGGCCCGCACAAGCAGUGGAGUAUGUGGUUUAAUUCGACGCAACGCGAAGAACCUUACCAAGUCUUGACAUCCCUUGACAGACAUAGAAAUAUGUAAUCUCUUCGGAGCAAGGAGACAGGUGGUGCAUGGUUGUCGUCAGCUCGUGUCGUGAGAUGUUGGGUUAAGUCCCGCAACGAGCGCAACCCUUAUGGUCAGUUACUACGCAAGAGGACUCUGGCCAGACUGCCGUUGACAAAACGGAGGAAGGUGGGGAUGACGUCAAAUCAUCAUGCCCUUUAUGACUUGGGCUACACACGUACUACAAUGGCGUUAAACAAAGAGAAGCAAGACCGCGAGGUGGAGCAAAACUCAGAAACAACGUCCCAGUUCGGACUGCAGGCUGCAACUCGCCUGCACGAAGUCGGAAUUGCUAGUAAUCGUGGAUCAGCAUGCCACGGUGAAUACGUUCCCG